UGUCAUGUAAACUAAAACCAGAUUCAUUCCCUUCAUCUUCAUCAUCAUUCCUCAAGCAUUCAUCAAUAUCAUUAGCAUCAAGAGGAUUAUUAGUAUCAUUACUAGUACCAACACCAAUAUUAUGAACAUUAGUGCUACUACUAGUACCAACACCAAUAUCAUCAAUUUGAAUAUCCAAAUCAUCUUCAAUACCAUGACUCUCCAUUUCAACAUCAUUAGGAAUUUCUUCUUCAUCACUUUCAUCUUCAUCACCAUUUUGUCUUCGUGUUGCACUGUCAAU
rnacentral:lncRNA from 1 species